GACUUUAUAACUCAGUUGGUUAGAGUACCACGUUAACAACGUGGAAAGUGGGAUACCGUGGAAGUCCCCGGUUCGAGUCCGGGUAAAGUCA
rnacentral:tRNA from 1 species